rnacentral:rRNA from 1 species
UAAAGGUUUGGUCCUGGCCUUACUGUCAACCCUAGUUAAAAUUACACAUGCAAGUAUCAGCGCCCCCGUGAGGAUACCCACAGCCACCCACUAGGUGACAUGGAGUAGGUAUCAGGCGCCACCCCCAUCGCCCAAGACACCUUGUUUAGCCACGCCCCCAAGGGUACUCAGCAGUGAUAGACCUUAAGCCAUGAGCGAAAGCUUUACUUAGUUAAGACUAAAAGGGCUGGUAAAGCCCGUGCCAGCCACCGCGGUCACACGGACAGCCCAAGUUGACAAAAAACGGCGUAAAGAGUGGUUAGGGAGACAAACUAACUAGAGCCGAAAACCUCCAAGCCUGUGGUACGCCAUCUCGGAGGAGCGAAGACCAGCUACGAAAGUGGCUUUACUCUACCUGACCCCACGAAAGCUAAGACACAAACUGGGAUUAGAUACCCCACUAUG